rnacentral:rRNA from 1 species
GACUGCAGUCUGCAACUCGACUGCACGAAGCUGGAAUCGCUAGUAAUCGCGGAUCAGCACGCCGCGGUGAAUACGUUCCCGGGCCUUGUACACACCGCCCGUCACACCAUGGAAGUCUGCAAUGCCCGAAGCCGGUGGCCUAACCACUUAUGUGGAAGGAGCCGUCUAAGGCAGGGCAGAUGACUGGGGUGAAGUCGUAACAAGGUACC